rnacentral:rRNA from 1 species
GUCCACGCCGUAAACGAUGGGUGCUAGGUGUAGGGGGUGUCGACUCCCUCUGUGCCGAAGCUAACGCAUUAAGCACCCCGCCUGGGGAGUACGGCCGCAAGGCUAAAACUCAAAGGAAUUGACGGGGGCCCGCACAAGCAGCGGAGCAUGUGGUUUAAUUCGACGCGACGCGAAGAACCUUACCUGGGCUUGACAUGCACGGGAAUGUCGUGGAAACACGGCAGCCCUUCGGGGCUCGUGCACAGGUGUUGCAUGGCUGUCGU